rnacentral:rRNA from 1 species
AACGAACGCUGGCGGCAUGCCUAACACAUGCAAGUCGAACGAAGGCUUCGGCCUUAGUGGCGCACGGGUGCGUAACGCGUGGGAAUCUGCCCUGGGGUACGGAAUAACAGAUAGAAAUGUCUGCUAAUACCGUAUGAUGUCGCAAGACCAAAGAUUUAUCGCCCUGGGAUGAGCCCGCGUUGGAUUAGCUAGUUGGUGGGGUAAAGGCCUACCAAGGCGACGAUCCAUAGCUGGUGUGAGAGGAUGAUCAGCCACACUGGGACUGAGACACGGCCCAGACUCCUACGGGAGGCAGCAGUGGGGAAUAUUGGACAAUGGGCGAAAGCCUGAUCCAGCAAUGCCGCGUGAGUGAUGAAGGCCUUAGGGUUGUAAAGCUCUUUUACCCGGGAAGAUAAUGACUGUACCGGGAGAAUAAGCCCCGGCUAACUCCGUGCCAGCAGCCGCCGUAA